UAGAAAGUCAUCUAAGCAAUGAAAUAGUAAGGAACAGAAAGACAAUGACGAGUGUAACAAUUUGUGAUUAGUAUAUUAACAGUUUACAACACGCCAUCAAUUUAUGACGACAUAUGAAGGUUUCUAGGCACAGGAGCUAAUAAGGAGACAACAGAACAUUCUGAGUCUAAGAUGCUCCCCAUAUUUAAUCCUCUCGGCAAAGAGCAAGAACAACAGGGGGAAAAUGGCAAGGAAGAAAUACAUAGAUGACAUGCAUGUGGAAUGAGGGAGGGAUGCUAUGUAGGUUAUGAGGAUGACACACUGGCAUGUGAAAGGUUUCUGGGCGGGACCCGCUCGUUGCAGUACCAAGAGAGUUUUGUUUAUUUACACUGUGUCGCUGAAAGGAAGCCGGAAAGCUUCAGUUGGACGCUUAAGUUAAUAACUGUGAGAAGAAAAGAGGCUGCACGCAAACGAACAUCUGGAUACGCAGAUCGCCGCCCGGGCCCCUGGGGCAGCUGACCAAACACCGAUCACUAACCCCUCCUACGGUCCUUCUAUCUGCGCACAAAGAACGGGCAGCUUUAGGAACUGGAAAUCGCUGGGACCAGAAGGAAGUUGAGAAGUGGAUCAAAGAACAGGAGGACUGGAAAGAGUCCUUGGUUCUCAAACCUGACUGGGCAUCUGAAUCACCUGGGAAGCUAUUAAAAUACAGAUUCCGGGGGCCCCACGCCCCUCGGAGUCAGUAGGUUUGGGGUGGAGCCUUUUACAGAGGAUUUCCUGACACCUAUGGAAUUCUAGACGUCUCUAACUGUGGCACUUCUUUUCUUGCCUGUGAGCCCUGCAUCAUCUAUUCCCCACGUGUAAAUUCUCCUAAUCCCAUUUUGAAGAUGGGAAAGCCGAGACAGCUGAGGUGCAGCGAUAUGAACAGAUUUAUCUAAGGCUCCACAGUUGGUAGAUGGCACAGACGAGACCUAAGCCACGUUAUCUCCCCGUACAAUGUAGGGGGUAGUCGGGCUCAUGUGAAACAAACUUUGGAUUCCCCAUUCCAUUUUCCACGUUGCUUCUCGAAACGCACCUUUAGAAUCCGAGUCAGAGAGAACUGAGGAAAGUGCAAACAACUAAUACGAUGAAUAAGGAGAGAGAAUAAGAAGUUGGAAUUAAGAAGACUGCAGGGAACUGCUUCGUUUUGUGAUAUCUGAGGAGCUGAUUUUUUUUUUCAUUGGGGCUGAUCUGGAAAAGAACUUGUAUGGUUUUUUAGAGAGGAUCAUAGAGAAGAUUCAUCUCUCACUAUGAAGCUGUUUGCAUCCAUGGAUCUGCACUGGGGCUGAACAUCUUUCCAAGAAAAAGACCUUGAACUCUGUGAAGUCUCUCCACUAUACGAAAUCGGCAGGAAUGGCCAGCAAGUGUUUGGGAACAGAGAGGUACAUCAGUUGCUAUACCAUCUCCAGCAUCAUGUGAGAGAAAAGAGUCAGUCACUACUUUCCAUCAUCCAUCAGUUUACUGAACCUACCCUGUAAGGACUGUGUCAGGUACUGUGAAUAAAAGAGUUAAUGAUGUGCAAAAAUAAAAAUGAUGAAGCAAUUAUUUUUCCUUUAGGUUCCAUAUAGUUCUGUGGAGUUAGUUUUGCUUUUGGCCUCUGAAAGUUCUCAUUUAUUUAUCUCAAAUGUUUACAGAGUGCUAACACAGGAUUCAGAAACAACUGGGCCAGUAAACUAUUUUCCUUAUUCUUUAGUGCAAAACGGAGCAAAAAAACCCAAAAAAACAAAACAAACAAAAAAAAACCCUUUCAUCCCUCCUGCACACAAAUAUAAUUAUAUUAUAAUCAAGAUAACAAUCUGAUUAAUAAAGUUUCUUCCAGUUCUAAUUGCCUUGAUGCCGUCAUUUGAGCCACUGCACUGACUUGAAGCAAGACAUUUUUUUUUUAGCUGCAUGAUUCAAUAAAUUCCAUUGAUGAUUUAAGGCAGUUUGAGUGAUUUUCUAAUAGUGUAUGUGUGUGUAAGUCAGGAUGCUGGCAGGACAUAAAUGGCACCCUUCAACCAGAUAAUUGAGGAGAGUUUAAUGAAGGACCAAUUACACAGGUGUGAGUGGGGUUAAGGGAAACCAACAAGAACUAGCAAUAGCAGGAAACCCUUCCAUCCCCCAGCCUGAAAUGACAAGAGGAGGGGCUGGUUUCCCACAAUCCAGAACUUAGGAAGGGCCAUAGCUGUUGUUUCUAGAGAGGGCUGCCUGACAGGAGCUGUGGGCUUUAUGAGGAAAGCAGACUUGCAGGAAAGUAACCCAAGGACUAAGUAAACACUCUAACUUA